UCCACUGUUCUGUUCCAGUAGAAGUUCUGCUUCCAUCCCGAAAUUCUCCCGAUUCAUUCAUCUGAUUUCCUUCCUGCUUCCAAGGUUCCACCCGAUUUCCUUCGAAAUUUGGAUCCUUGAGUUGAAUUCUUCUAGAUCCAACCUCCACCUGAGUCGAAGACGACUUCGACUGUCCGCUCAGACGAAGCCUCCACCUGAAUCCUUCCGCCGUUUGGUUGACAACACCGAGACGAAGGCGACCUCACUGCGCCACCUCGAUCUCGGGUCGCGACCUCCCUCUCUGAAGCAGGUCUGUGCUUAAGGUUCCACCUCGAGAGGCCCUUGAAAGUUUGAAGUUCAUCUUUCCCCCCGUCAAGGCGUAUGGACUGAGGAUGAAAUCUUCUCCCAGGAGAAGAUAAAAAACGCCACAAUGUUCCGCCCUGUAAUUGAUGAGGAGCUGAGGAAGAAGAAAUUGCAGUGGUGGGCCAAAGCCAUUGAAAGGACAUUCGACUUGGCCGACCUCUCCCUUUAAAUUCAUUGACUGACAGUUGUUUCCUUUCUAUACAUUACGUUACUACGGGAAAACUCGAAAUUAGUAAUUAUCUGGUUGUGUAUUGAUAUCUUUUCUUGAAUAAGAAUAUUUCUUG